AAGGUAGAGCUGAUGAUUGGGGUUAAGUCGUAACAAGGUAUCCCUACGGGAACGUGGGGAUGGAUCACCUCCUUU
rfam:Firmicutes bacterium CAG:631 genomic scaffold, scf3